GGGAGCAAACAGGAUUAGAGACCCUGGUAGUCCACGCUGUAAACGUUGGGCACUAGGUGUGGCGACCCGAUCAACGGUUGCCGUGCCGAAGCUAACGCAUUAAGUGCCCCGCCUGGGGAGUACGGCCGCAAGGCUAAAACUCAAAGGAAUUGACGGGUCCCCGCACAAGCGGCGGAGCAUGCGGCUUAAUUCGAUGCAACCCGAAGAACCUUACCUGGGUUUGACAUUAUGGGAAAAGCCGUAGAGAUACGGUGUCCGCAAGGGCCCAUAACAGGUGGUGCAUGGCUGUCGUCAGCUCGUGUCGUGAGAUGUUGGGUUAAGUCCCGCAACGAGCGCAACCCUUGUCCUAUGUUGCCAGCGGAUUAUGCCGGGGACUCAUAGGAGACUGCCGGGGAUAACUCGGAGGAAGGUGGGGACGAGGUCAAGUCAUCAUGCCCCUUAUGCCCAGGGCUGCACGCAUGCUACAAUGGUCGGUACAACGGGCUGCGAUCCCGCGAGGGUGAGCGAAUCCCUAAAAGCCGACCUCAGUUCAGAUUGGAGUCUGCAACUCGACUCCAUGAAGCCGGAGUCGCUAGUAAUCGCGGAUCAGCUAAGCCGCGGUGAAUGCGUUCUCGGGGAUUGUACACACCGCCCGUCAAGUCACGGAAGCUGGCAACACCCGAAGUCAGUGGCCCAACCGCAAGGAGGGAGCUGCCUAAGGUGGGGUUGGUAAUUGGGACUAAGUCGUAACAAGGUAGC
rnacentral:rRNA from 1 species